GUCCCCUAUCUCUGACUUCAGAGCAUUUCUGCUCAAGCUACAGCAUUGUGCGUACUAUGGAGAAGUGAAGAUCAGAAACGUGGGGAGAACAAGGUUUUGCCCAUUGUGACAGAUAGUGCCGUUAUAUGCUGAAGGCCGCAGUGUCUCCAGGUGUUUUACCCUAAAAUUAUUCACCUCACCUGUCUGGCUCAUGGGAUCCAUCGAGUCCCUGAAGGGGUCAUAGCCACACUGCCAGAGGUCAACAGCCUUAUAUCUUCGGUAAAAAAGGUAUCCAUCAAGGCACGUAGUCGAGUGAGAGCUUCCAAGACUGCUCACCCUGACUGUCCUCUCCCACCUGAACCAGUCUCGUCGAGGUGGGAAAUGUGGAUUUCAGCUGCAAACCAUUAUGCAGACAACCACAGAAAAGUGAAAGAGGUCCUAAAGGGCUUUGAAGAUAGCAAAAAUUUAGCCAUACCAAAAGCCAAGGACUCCCUGAAAAAUUCCAGCGUGUUACACAGCCCAUCUCGCAUCCGAGCGCACUCGGGUGACCUUCCAGACCCAAUUGAGGAA